rnacentral:rRNA from 1 species
AUUGAACGCUGGCGGCAGGCCUAACACAUGCAAGUCGAGCGGAUGAAGGGAGCUUGCUCCUGGAUUCAGCGGCGGACGGGUGAGUAAUGCCUAGGAAUCUGCCUGGUAGUGGGGGAUAACGUCCGGAAACGGGCGCUAAUACCGCAUACGUCCUGAGGGAGAAAGUGGGGGAUCUUCGGACCUCACGCUAUCAGAUGAGCCUAGGUCGGAUUAGCUAGUUGGUGGGGUAAAGGCCUACCAAGGCGACGAUCCGUAACUGGUCUGAGAGGAUGAUCAGUCACACUGGAACUGAGACACGGUCCAGACUCCUACGGGAGGCAGCAGUGGGGAAUAUUGGACAAAGGGCGAAAGCCUGAUCCAGACAUGCCGCGUGUGUGAAGAAGGUCUUCGGAUUGUAAAGCACUUUAAGUUGGGAGGAAGGGCAGUAAGUUAAUACCUUGCUGUUUUGACGUUACCAACAGAAUAAGCACCGGCUAACUUCGUG